rnacentral:piRNA from 2 species
UGAAAGCAAAGACCGAGUGGAGACGCUCAGU